ACUAUUUUGGCAGACAAGUGCAAUGGAUUUAGAAUCUAGUUAUAUGACGUUGUCAUAAGUAGUA
rnacentral:tRNA from 1 species